rnacentral:rRNA from 1 species
GAUGAACGCUGGCGGCGUGCCUAAUACAUGCAAGUCGAGCGAACAGACGAGGAGCUUGCUCCUCUGACGUUAGCGGCGGACGGGUGAGUAACACGUGGAUAAUCUACCUAUAAUACUGGGAUAACUUCGGGAAACCGGAGCUAAUACCGGAUAAUAUAUUGAACCGCAUGGUUCAAUAGUGAAAGACGGUUUUGCUGUCACUUAUAGCUGGAUCCGCGCCGCAUUAGCUAGUUGGUAAGGUAACGGCUUACCAAGGCAACGAUGCGUAGCCGACCUGAGAGGGUGAUCGGCCACACUGGAACUGAAACACGGUCCAGACUCCUACGGGAGGCAGCAGAAGGGAAUCUUCCGCAAUGGGCGAAAACCUGACGGAGCAACGCCGCGUGAGUGAUGAAGGUCUUCGGAUCGUAAAACUCUGUUAUUAGGGAAGAACAAAUGUGUAAGUAACUAUGCACGUCUUGACGGUACCUGAUCAGAAAGCCACGGCUAACUACGUG